AACAUGGGCGUAGCCUGCUGCAGCCAUGCCGCGUGUGUGAGGAAGGUCUUCGGAUUGUAAAGCACUUUAAGUUGGGAGGAAGGGCAGUAAGUUAAUACCUUGCUGUUUUGACGUUACCAACACAAUAAGCACCGGCUAACUUCGUGCCAGCAGCCGCGGUAAUACGAAGGGUGCAAGCGUUAAUCGGAAUUACUGGGCGUAAAGCGCGCGUAGGUGGUUCAUCAAGUUGGAUGUGAAAUCCCCGGGCUCAACCUGGGAACUGCAUCCAAAACUACUGAACUAGAGUACGGUAGAGGGUGGUGGAAUUUCCUGUGUAGCGGUGAAAUGCGUAGAUAUAGGAAGGAACACCAGUGGCGAAGGCGACCACCUGGACUGAUACUGACACUGAGGUGCGAAAGCGUGGGGAGCAAACAAGAAUAA
rnacentral:rRNA from 1 species